ensembl:lncRNA
CGGUAUAUAAAGCAAAGCGACGCGUUCAUCCGGUCUCAUUCUUCUGCAGUUCCUCAAAGGCGAGUCUAGUAUCCGGGGUAUUGAUUGAUUGAACGCGCGAGACGACUGGACUCUGGAGCGGAUCUGGAGAAGUGUGUCCAAGGAAUGUGGUGUGACUCUGGAACACCGUGUCAAAGGAACAUGUGCAGUGAAGUUGAUUUGAAAGGUUGUUUUAGAUCCUGGCACGAGCGAUGAAGAUGCCAUCAGCUGAGCACGCAUGAGUUCUGCAGGGGUGCAAGCAUCUCUGAAUGAGUUCUACAGGGGUGGAAGUGUUUACUUUAAUUCUGGCUGUGGAAAGAUCAGCAGCUGUCUGAAUGUUCUUCAGGGACUGAUCGGCAUGAUGUGCUGAUGGGAGUCACUGCAUGUGCUCAUUGACAGGUGCGGUGGUGACUGCUCCUUCAUGCUGUGUGAAUAUGAAUGCGGCAUGCACUUGUAAAGGAAGCACAAUAUCCAGGACGGCUCUGGAAAAACCAGAUUGUAUAAGGUGUGUUGCCUGCAUCCGACUCUUCUGAACUAUAUUCCAGAGCUUCGGUUCUUGUAUUGUUUUCUGAUUUGAAGUCACUUGUCUCUUUGCAGCAAUUAAGUGACAUUUAAAUGCCGUCAUCUACAUUUGUUAUAACUAGGCCAAGUUUGUAAAGUGUCCUUACUUCAAUAAAGUUGUAAAAUCAAAGGUCUUUCAAGUUUAUAAGGUUGUUGAUGUGUGAUUGUUUGGUUAAUCUCUUAUCAGUGUUGACCAAUUAACAGGCCUUUCAGGCAUUUGGUAGUAUGCAAUAUGACUAGUGUCUUUAUACUUUGAGUACUUGUACAGAGCAUUUACACUUGGAUAUUUGCCUGAUUUUGAAAGAUUUACACAUAGCUAACAUCUGGUCUAUAGAAGUGAUGUCUGAUGGUAAUUCUAAUCCAGGGGUCUCCAACCCUGCUCCUGGAGAGCUACUGUCCUGCAUAUUUCAGCUCCAACCCCAAUCAGACACCUGAACCAGCUAAUCAAUGUGUUCAGGGAUACUUGAUAAUUACAGACAGGUGGGUUGGAACUGAAGUCUGCAGGGUGGGAGAUCCCUGUUCUAAUCAAACAUACAUCAAGUUCUCAAACUGCG